rnacentral:misc_RNA from 1 species
GUUAUUUCCAAGCGAGGAACGGUUCGCAAUAAAAUAUACGAUACACCGUUAACCAGAGCCAGGAAAUAAUCUGCUCAGGAAAAUUAUUUUGCUCGCAUGUUCCCUGAGUUCCUCGUGCAUCUCGCGAUACACGACAGAAGGAAGGAAACCGCCCUGCCACAGGAAUAAUUCUCUGGCACUGGGGGAAAAAAAUCUGAGGUUUUGCUGCGUUCCUACUUUGUCAGAAGGUGCGUGCAAGAGGCGAGAUGAAAAUACGAGACGACAUUAUUGGCUGGGAAUAUACAUAAUGUAUAACCAAUGAGUUUUUCUUCUGAAAAAUACGGAAACUUGAACUAUCUGUGACGCGCCAGUUUGCGAAAUUAACU